ACAGGGCGAUUCCGCGAUGAAUUAGGCCUGCUGUUUUGAAGGUCUGCUUGUUCUUUAAGGUAGUAAAUAUAACCACUCAGAACAGCAUUUUCACAUUGGUACUGCCUACACUGGUACAGAAGUUUUAGGUAAAUUUAUAGCCCGAAUAAUAACUUUGCACAGAUGCCGAUAUUUUUUGUUUUAAUCUCGAUAAUUUUAGUUUUCAGAGCAUUAACAAAACAUCUUUUAUCCUUAUCUUUUCAUUUUAAAUUUGCAAAAAUUCGAGUUGGUUCUAGUCUUCCGCGGCCAUAGAUUAGAGAGGUUCAGAUUUGACUCACUCACUCACUCACUCACUGGCUUAGUGCGCAUCUGAUUGGUUAAUCGGAUGUAUUAAGGAAUUUGAUUGGUUAGUGAUCCCUUAAUGGUAGCGGUAGUGGAAGUCAAAUCUGAACCUCUCUAUUGUGAAAGCAACAUCAAGUCUAUUAUGAGAUCAGUGGGAUUUUUCCAAUUUGUGUCCUUCCGUGCUUCCGGUAGCCGAAACCAAUAUUUGUGCCAAUAGUCGCUGGCGGCACAGGUGCCCCAAUGACUAAUUAACAAUUAUUCGCCGAAGGCGAGGUGAUUAUCGGUGAAUAAAAACCGAGACGAAGUCGAGGUUUUUAUUCACGAUAAUCACCGAGCCUGAGGUGAAUAAUUGUUUUAGUAUAAUUUCAUAGGUGAUUAUUUGGGAAAAAAUAAGAAAAUACACAUUUCUUUGUCAUUUAAUUGACCAAAAGGCUUCGGCCGCCAUUUUGAAAAUCGCUUAGGUGAUUAUCGCGUAAUAAUCACCUCAACGGCAACCAAUCACCG